rnacentral:sRNA from 1 species
CCAAAUGUAGACCAAGCAC